UUGGUUUCUGAGUCUGUGGAGGCACCGACUUCUCCAAGAAAAUGAAUUGGCCACAUCAUUUCCACGUUUUCCACAUCCGGGAGGAAGUCUGGGCUGUGCAGCCUUCAGGCACCCGGCACAGACACUGUGCUGGCUUCAGACACGCCAAGUGAAUGGAUUUGGAUGGAACGCACAUAAAACAGGAGACGGGUUCUCAUGUGAGAUCAAAGCUCCUCCAAAGCCUAUUCAAGCUCUAAGCGAUUCUCAAAUGUUACCAUUUAUUAAAGGUACACUACACCUGUUGAAGGCCAAGUUCAGGCCAGCUGUUGUGAUCUGCGUAAUGUAUUUAUUAAUGCUUGAGUUUUAAAAUCCUGGGCAUAAAUAGUGCAGAGCCUUGUAUGUCUGUCAGUUCAUGCCGAGAUGAAAUAAAUCAUGCAGAAAGUGCCAGUGCU